rnacentral:rRNA from 1 species
CUACGGGUCGCAGCAGUGGGGAAUAUUGGACAAUGGGGGAAACCCUGAUCCAGCAAUGCCGCGUGUGUGAAGAAGGCCUGCGGGUUGUAAAGCACUUUCGGUUGGGAGGACUGCUUCUAGCACUAAUAUUGUUGGAAGUUGACGUUACCUUCAGAAGAAGCACCGGCUAACUCCGUGCCAGCAGCCGCGGUAAUACGGAGGGUGCAGGCGUUAAUCGGAAUUACUGGGCGUAAAGCGCGCGUAGGCGGCGAGAUCAGUCGGGUGUGAAAGCCCCGGGCUUAACCGGGGAACUGCAUCCGAUACUGUCUAGCUUGAGUACAGGAGAGGAGAGUGGAAUUCCACAUGUAGCGGUGAAAUGCGUAGAUAUGUGGAGGAACACCAAUGGCGAAGGCAGCUCUCUGGCCUGAUACUGACGCUGAGGUGCGAAAGCGUGGGGAGCAAACAGGAUUAGAUACCCUAGUAGUC